UCGGCCACAUUGGGACUGAGACACGGCCCAGACUCCUACGGGAGGCAGCAGUGGGGGAUAUUGCGCAAUGGGGGAAACCCUGACGCAGCAAUGCCGCGUGAAGGAUGAAGGUUUUCGGAUUGUAAACUUCUUUUGUUAAGGACGAAGAAUGACGGUACUUAACGAAUAAGCUCCGGCUAACUAUGUGCCAGCAGCCGCGGUAAUACAUAGGGAGCAAGCGUUAUCCGGAUUUACUGGGUGUAAAGGGUGCGUAGGCGGCUAAGCAAGUCAGAUGUGAAAUACACGGGCUCAACCCGUGGGCUGCAUUUGAAACUGUUUAGCUUGGGUGAAGUAGAGGCAGGCGGAAUUCCCGGUGUAGCGGUGAAAUGCGUAGAGAUCGGGAGGAACACCAGUGGCGAAGGCGGCCUGCUGGGCUUUAACUGACGCUGAGGCACGAAAGCGUGGGUAGCAAACAGGAUUAGAUACCCUGGUAGUCCACGCUGUAAACGAUGAUUACUAGGUGUGGGUGGACUGACCCCAUCCGUGCCGCAGUUAACACAAUAAGUAAUCCACCUGGGGAGUACGACCGCAAGGUUGCAACUCAAAGGAAUUGACGGAA
rnacentral:rRNA from 1 species